rnacentral:rRNA from 1 species
UACGUAGGGGGCAAGCGUUGUUCGGAAUUACUGGGCGUAAAGCGCGUGUAGGCGGCUCUUCAAGUCAGACGUGAAAGCCCCGGGCUUAACUCGGGAACUGCGUUUGAUACUGUCGAGCUAGAGUGUGGAAGGGGCGAUUGGAAUUCCGUGUGUAGCGGUGAAAUGCGUAGAUAUACGGAGGAACACCAGAGGCGAAGGCGGCUCACUGGCACGGUACUGACGCUGAGGUGCGA